rnacentral:misc_RNA from 1 species
UCUAGCCCAAAGGUCCAAAG